rnacentral:rRNA from 1 species
GACAGAGGGUGCAAACGUUGUUCGGAAUUACUGGGCGUAAAGCGCGUGUAGGCGGCCCUGUAAGUCGGGUGUGAAAUCCCACGGCUCAACCGUGGAAGUGCAUUCGAAACUACAGGGCUAGAGUUCUGGAGAGGAAGGUGGAAUGCUUGGUGUAGAGGUGAAAUUCGUAGAUAUCAAGCGGAACACCGGUGGCGAAGGCGGCCUUCUGGACAGUAACUGACGCUGAGACGCGAAAGCGUGGGGAGCGAACAGG